ACCCUGCAUGUCCCUUUCAAAUAAUCGCCCGGAACCGGAAUCCUGCGGUCCGCGUUUGUGUCCCGAUCACCGGCGCUAACAGUAUCGGUAAUAGGCCCUGGGCAAGAGUGGGCACUUAGCCAACGCACCCACUUCCCAUUCGGCCAUAUAAAUGUCUGCGUAGGCCGGUGCGAACUUCUUGCCCAUGGCCGUUCCCGAUAUCUGUAAGUGAUGUUCCCCAUUGAAGAUGAAAUCGUUCUUUGUCGGGCUGAUGUGCAAAAGUUGAAGCAGUUGUUCAUCCGGCCGCGAAGGAUCUGCAUUUCCUAAAAGUAUGUUGCUCACCGCCUGUAGUCCAGCCUCCGUAUCAUUAUUUGUAUAUAGGCUGUCCACAUCAAUUGUAAAUAAAUAUGUAUCGGAGUUACAAUGAUAUCUUUAACUUCGUACGUAUCUUUAAUAUAACUCGGAUGACCAUGCAACAGAGGGUUCAGGUAAUAAUCAAUAUACUGUGCAAUAUUGUACGACUCACUCCCACAGUCACACACGAUGGGGCGUCCAGGCGGGACCUCGCAAGGGACAGUCCAUGUCUCCGGAUCCUUGUGGAUUUUAGCUGCAAGGAUGCAGGCAUGGACGUCCCUGUAGAGGUCCCGCUGGUCAUCCCGGUUGGGGAGAGGAAUAAAUGUUAGGCCUCUCUCCAACACUUCCACCUGUGCCUCCGAAAGCUGAAAGGUUCACCUCCCCCUCCCCUAUUUCCCGGCCCUCCCGGUUCC